CUCUCGCAUUGCGUCGUGCUGGCACUUUUACUGGCCGGGUCUUAGAGCUGAGCCCGUAGCCAGGCGCCAUCUUUGACGCUGGCAGUCUUGGAUUUCUGCUGGUGUUGCUGCUGUGAGGACGGCGGGCGGCAGCGGCUAAGAAAGAAGAAAGACGUGGCAGCAAGCGGGAGUCGGGGACAGUGUCGGCGGUUCGGUAAAGUUUCUGUUCUCUGGGCCCCACUACUUGGGAGAUACUCUCAAACUCCACAUACUGAAAGCCACCGACCUAAAUCCGAUUUGGGGAUAUUCCCUGCCCAAAAAUUUCCUGGAAAAUUGACUAGUAUUAAGUGUGAGUAAAAGGUGUCCACUUUUUUUUAAGUUUCGAUUUUAGUUUUGUCUUGGAUAGUAUUUGGCAAGAUUUAGCCUAGAAAUUAUGUAGUAUUUAUUACAUGAGAAUCAAAAUUGCUUUGUUACGGGGCUGGUUUCAAAAUUUAGAACUCAUUUCUAUGUAUCAAAAUCGUUUUUUGUUUUUGUUUUUUGGGUUUUUUGUUUUUUGGUUUUCUUUUUUUUUUUAAUUCUUAAAUGGUAAAUGUACCAUUGUGAAAUGAAAUUUCAACUCCAAAAGUUUACCCUUUUACUAACUGGAGUAAAUGAAUAAUUACAAAGUCUUUAGUUGAGCCAUCACUUGUGGGGGGAAAAAAAAAAAAAAGAAAAAGAAACCAGGCUGCAUAAGCAAGCCUUUUGCAGGGCCAAUAUUGAAUGUCAUGCCAGUGACACUGGAAGAAAAAGUCUUCCCUUAGAUAGAAGCUUUCUGUAUUUUGACAGCGCCAGUUCAGGAUGGCUAUAAUGCUGCUCUGCCUUCUACAGCUUGCUGCACCACUCUGUAGUUACUCGAUAACUAUACGUUUCUAUCUUUUUUGGUUAAACACUCCCUGAAGAUGAUAAAUAUGAUAAUGAUGUACGUACAUCCGUAUUAUACACAUUGAUUCAUGUGUAAGGCUUUCCCUUCAUGUUUAUUCUGUGGGCUGGGCAAAAUUUAGU
rnacentral:lncRNA from 1 species